GCUCCCGUAGCUUAGUAGGUUAGAGCGUUAGUUUUAUGAGCCGAAGGUCGCGAGUUCGAAACUCGCCGGAGGCA